AUUAUUUUCAAAAUCUUAUUUUGUACAAUUAGAUACAAUUCAAAAAAGCCUAAUUACUUAAGGGGUUAUGAUUUCUGAGCCCUCUGUCUUAUCCUGGGAACAAAGGUUAGGUAAUGAUCAAGAAAAGACAAAUGAAAUAGUUUAUAAUUAAAUAGGUAAUAUUUAGGUUUCUAAUAAUAUCAACCUCACUGUAUUACUAUCUUCUUAUUUCUAGGACAUGAUUAUUCAAUGCUGCUCUGAAAUAGCAUCUCUGUUUUUGAAUGAUAAAGAGCCAACACCACUAUCUGAGGUCCCGUUUGAUAUCUCACUGCCAUCUAUAUUCAAUCUUGAGAGACUUUUUGAUCUGGCUAAUGGUUGCAUUUUAUCAGGAGGAAGCCUUUUCAACUGGAUAGUGUCAAUUAUUCCCUGAAUAUCCUAUACACGGGAUGAUGAAACUGAGAAAUAAAUCAAGAAUAUGACAACAGACUGAGGAAUUUUUCAGCAAUAUCUGUCAGCCUUUGGAAAUUUGGUGAGAAGAAGUAGUCAUGAUUCAAUGUCUUGCUUGCACAGAAGCCUCCAGUUCAAACUUGGAUCUUGCCCCAUCUGAUUUCUUAUGAUAUAUGCAAAUACUCUAGAUAUUGCUUUGAGAUUUCGCUGUUGAUCAACUGGCCUGCUGCAGCUUCAUAGGUGUUUUAGCUCCCAGUAGGGCAGCUUAACUCCUAUCUUCUCUGUGAGUUCCAGGUCUGUAUAUCUCCUCAGCUCGCUCUCAUUUGUCCAGCUUAUCUAUUUCUUUAUCAAGUUGCUUUGGCUUCCCUACUCUCUCCUGCGUUUUGAAAAGAAUUAAUUCUCAAGUAAAUUAAAACUACAUUCUGGUAAAAAUGAGCAUGCAUGUGUAUUUAGUCCUUCAUUUAUUCAAUAUGCAUUUUUGGAGCUUUGCUCUAUAUUAGACAUAGUUCCAGGCUCUAAAAACACAAAGAUCCAUGAGCUGUGGCCCAUCCCUUAAGAUGCUGAUAGUAUAUUAAAGGCAACAAAAUGUAAACUUACAAUUCACAAUACAACAAUGCAGAUAGAUGUUAACAUGAAGCCUCCACAAAAUGUUUUAGGAAGACAGGGAAAUAGCAAGGAUUCGCAGAGGAGAUGAUGCAGUAACUAUAUUGGGGUUGGGGGGGGGCGGCGGGAAGAGGGAAGGAAGACAAAAACAAGAAUCCCUAGUCCAAAAUAUUGUUAGUUGAGCCACGAGAUGAUUACUUCCAGGAAGAAAUAUUGAGAAGAUGUAUUGGGUAGAUGAAAUACCUAAUGAGACCAUAAAUGACGAGAAUUGCCUCUUAUAGCAUAUGAGAAGAUAAUUUUUAUCAGAUAAUGAAAUUGUUUUCAGUCUUCAGAAUGAAAAUGAAUCCCUUGCUAAUGCAGAUCAUGCUAAUAAAGGAAGUAAAAGAGAAUCUUAGAAUUAUACUUGGCUCAUGAUAGGCAGAAACCAACCUAAAUAGCCUAGGAAAAAAGAGAAAGAUAAUAAAGUAAUCAAAAUAAUUGCUUACUAGGGAAUGUGAAAGAUCUGCAAUGUUAAAUUAUAAAUGUAUGUUUGCAUGAAAAAUGAGGUGACCUUAAGGAAAAGAUUAGAAACCCACACUCAUGCGAGUUAGAAGCAAUGCUUUUCAUUAGCGAAGCUGAGGAUUAAUUAAAUCCAGGGAAAUUCUUUGAAAUCCACAAGUGUGAGUUACAUUUGAAUACAAUACAACGGGUGUAUUGGUAUUGUAAUUAAUGAUUAGCAUAGACUUCUUGAUUAAAUGUAUGUGGAAUAGUUCAAAUGGCAAAUGUGAAAUAAAGAGGAGAAAAACGUU
rnacentral:lncRNA from 1 species